rnacentral:tRNA from 1 species
CUAGGUGUCGGGCAGAGGCUAUACCCGCCUGUUUUGGGAACAGGAUUUUCGCGUGUUCGAAUCACGCCACUUAGA